rnacentral:rRNA from 1 species
UACAGAGGGGGCAAGCGUUGUUCGGAAUUACUGGGCGUAAAGGGCGCGUAGGCGGCCUGUUAAGUCGAACGUGAAAUCCCUGGGCUCAACCCAGGAACUGCGUCCGAUACUGGCAGGCUUGAAUCCGGGAGAGGGAUGCGGAAUUCCAGGUGUAGCGGUGAAAUGCGUAGAUAUCUGGAGGAAUACCGGUGGCGAAGGCGGCAUCCUGGACCGGCAUUGACGCUGAGGAGCGAAAGCCAGGGGAGCAAACGGG